UUUCCCGUAGCGCGGGUAGAUCCUUGUGGGUGGUGUCAGCGAUGGCGGCGGCGCCGAGCCGAGCUAAAGCCGAGCCGAGCUGAGCUUGCACGACUGGCCAUCCCCCGGCCGGCUGCGGGGAGGGAGCCCGGGUACCUUAACGCCCGACCGAUCUCUGCUAGUGGCGGCCGACCGGGUCGGGGUGCUUGCUGAAGAGGUAGGCCGGGCCGCAGCGGCCGGCGAUGGAGGGAUGGGCCAGAAUGCCGGUCUGUGGAGGGAACGGCUGUGCCGCUUGAGCAUACGACGGACCUGUCCUUCCCCCGUCAUCUUCGUGAGACAAAGCACUGGGUGAAUCGGCGGCCCUUCGUCCUCUGGAGCUUCGGGCUUCUUACGGCUGCUGGGGCCAGCUCUCCAGAAGCUCACGUUUCGGGAGAGCGAGUUUUCCGGUUUCUCGAUAAUGGCAGUGAAAGUUUGCCCAUGGCCUAAGCAAGCAGCAAUGUGACCACAGGAUGUCCCAAGGAGCAUGAGUCCAUGUGUGUUUUGCUGAAAGUUCGGAAGCUUACAGAUAACCUGAUGUGGUGAAAGCCUCUGAACAUGGGAGGGGCAUGUAGGAAAAAGUUACAAACUACUGAUUACCCAACUGUCCUGCAACUUCUCUCAUGAGACUCCCAGGUCCUGCCAGGAACUUGCUCCAGGAUGAGCUUCCCAUGGAGUCACAGCCUUCUCAGCUCCCCAGUGGCCUCCAUGGACAGCAGGGGCACAGCUGCCUCACCAUGGGCUGCACCACAGGUCACAAAGGAGUCUCUUUCAGGGCCUAGGUACCUUCUCUCCCUCUUCCACUGACCUUGGUGUCUGCAGAUGUUUUCGCAUUCUCACUCCCUGUUGCUGCUGCCAUUUAGCAACUGUGCAGCAACUUCUUCCCCUUCUCAAAUACAUUAUUCACAGUGGCAUGGCCUCAGUCACUAAUUGGCCAGGCCUCGGUCAGCUGUGGGUCCAUCUUAGACUUAGCCCUGUCAGCUACAGGGGAAGCCUCUGGCAGAUGUUGGGCUUUAAAGAAGACACCCCUGUAGUCCUCCCCACUACCAAAAACCUGGCUCAGGCAAAACCACUCCAGGUUGUCAAGAGGGAAAGAGGUGUAGAAGAGUAAUUAAUUUCAGUGAUCCAACAUGUAAUUAUCGGAUGCACUUGAAAGGUUAGGCUUUCUGUUACAGUUUAUAUUCCCUGAAGAUUCCAUCUGUUUAGGAGGUUUGCUCAGGAAUAUGUUCCUGAAGUUUAAGACUGGCAGAAGCUUUUAAGACUGUUUUUUUCAAAAACAAAAACUUGGGAGCAACAGCUAAUGCCAAGUUUUAAUGAUAGUUGUCUAAAAUGCUGGUUCCCUUUCAACAAGAAAAACGAGAAUUUUAAGCUUCAGCAUGUAAUACCUAUUAUCAUAGUAUGAAGGAACAAAGAAAAAGUGAGGUAGAGGGAAGAGUGAGCAUGUGUAAGGAACACUGAUUUCUAAAAUAGUAAUGUUGGUAAACACUGGUGUUGACCAUUAGGACUGUGUUUUAGUUUCUUAGGAGUGGUUAAUUGGACUUUAUCUGUGGGAUAAAAACUUUUAGACUCCGUAAGUCUUUUUUUUUUUUUCCCCCCCUCUGUUUUACAUGAACACAGAGUUGUCUGGCAGACUGUUGAAUGAGGACAGAUUCCCAGUUGGUCUAGGGGAGCAAGACGGAACAAGUAUCUGUGCACUAGGUUGGUGUUGCACCAACUUAUCUUUCUGUUACCUCCAGUGAGUGCCCUGUGGAAAAGGGCUCUCAGUAUUAAAGGCUGCAGAUCAGAGCUCUUGAGGUGUGCACAGAAAAAACAGCUUGUUCCAAAUUCCUCUUAACUGUUAAGCACACUGCAUCUGAGUUGCCUAAGGAUAGUUCCACUAAAGCAGAACAGUCCAUGUCAGUGGGUGACCUGUAGGGACAUUCUUGAAUGUAAGUUGUUGCCCUUUUUGCUCAGUGAAGGGGCUCAUUUGUAGUAAAUUUAACAGCAGUAUAUUAUGAAGAAUGUCAAGUACAUUCUGAUAUCCUCACGGAGAGGAAAAGAAAAAGCAUUGUCCUAUUAAUUUUUGAGACCUUAACAUUACAGACAGUAAAGCAUAUUGUUUAAACUGUGAACAACUGUGAGGUCAGUGGUUUUCUUCACUCUGGUACUGGGUCUGGCUGAGAUGGAGGUAAUUUUCCUCAAGCAGCCCUCAUGGUGCUGUGUUUUGUAUUGGUAGCUAGGAAGGUAUUAGUGACACACCAGUGUUUUGGCUACUGCAUCAAGGCUAUGUCUCUAACAUUCUUCCCUCACUCAGUGGGAUGGGGAUGGACAAGAUCUUAUGAGGGGAUAGCUGAUCCAAACUGACUUAUCCCCACCAUGUGAUGCCUGCUCAGCAAUAAAAGCCAAGAGGAAGUGGGUUGGGAGUGUCUUCUGAAGCAAUGGUGUACUGAAGCCCUGCCCCCUGGGAAGUGGCUGGACAUCACCUGAUGAUGGGACGUAAAGAAUAAAUUCUUUGCUUUCCUUUGCUCCUACAUGCAGCCUUUCACAGAAUCUUAGAGUGACAGGGGUUGGAAGGGACCUUUAGAGAUCAUCUAGUCCAACGCCCCAGCAGAAGCAGGUCCACCUAGGUCAGGUCACAGAGGAAUGUGUCCAGAUGGGUCUUGAAGACCUCCAGAUGAGACUCCACACCUUCCCUGGGCAGCCUGUGACAGGGCUCCCUCACCCUCACAGUAAAGUAGUUUUUUCUUAUGUUUAAAUGGAACUUUUUGUGUUCCAGCUUCUUUCUAUCACCCCUGUGAUUCACUUUAUUAAACUACCUUUAUCUUGGCCCUUGAGGGUUUGAGGUUUUUUUUCCAUCUUGUUUCCUCUCCCUGAGCUGUCCUGCUGAGGAGGAGAGCGGUAGUGUCUUGGUGUCCAUCCAAGGUUAACCCACUGCAUCUCUUACAGAGGAGACAAAUACAGGAGAGAACAUUAAAGAGAGAACGUAUGCCACACUGA